GGGGAAUUUUCCGCAAUGGGCGAAAGCCUGACGGAGCAAGACCGCGUGGGGGAUGAAGGCUCUUGGGUUGUAAACCCCUUUUCUCAGGGAAGAAGAACUGACGGUACCUGAGGAAUAAGCAUCGGCUAACUCCGUGCCAGCAGCCGCGGUAAGACGGAGGAUGCAAGCGUUAUCCGGAAUUAUUGGGCGUAAAGCGUUCGUAGGUGGCUGUUCAAGUCUGCCGUUAAAGACCGGGGCUUAACUCCGGAAAAACUGUGGAAACUGAACAGCUAGAGUAUGGUAGGGGUAAGGGGAAUUCCUGGUGUAGCGGUGAAAUGCGUAGAUAUCAGGAAGAACACCGGUGGCGAAGGCGCCUUACUGGGCCAUAACUGACACUGAGGGACGAAAGCUAGGGGAGCGAAAGGGAUUAGAUACC
rnacentral:rRNA from 1 species